rnacentral:sRNA from 1 species
UAUAUGUAUGUUUAUGUGUGUGUGCUCCAUAUUUAUCAUAACCACUCAAACCUUCGUUUUGCAUUGUGGACAUACGCUU